ACGAAGACAGGAGCACUUUCCAGUACUCCUACUGUGUUACGACUUGUCUCAUUUUUCAACGAGAGUGACGGGCGAUUUGUGCACGAGAAUUUUUUUCUUCAAAAUAUAUUUCUCUAAUAAUUACUGUUAAGUCCAUCUUUGUUUUUGCUGUUACAUCUUUACUCCGAAAAAACUAUUUAUUGUAACUCACCUUACUGACCUUUAUAUGGGCUGCACCAUGACCUGUCUUAUAGAAUUUUUAUUCUUUUCGGGUCCUUCUCGAGAGGGCCCUAGACGGCGGUAUACAAACUUUGAAUAAAGGUGAUUUCUUUUGGGGGUUGUCAAUUACCUGGUAAGUUCCCCUAAAUUUUAUUCUCGCCGCCAUGUUCUUUAAGUUUUAGCCUUGCAUUAGGCAUUAGUGCUUAGAUUAUGUAUUUCUACUCCUUAUAGUAGGGUAUCUAAUCCUAGUUUAAUAAUGGAGUUUCAGGAAUAGGCCUUAGAGGAGAAAUCAAGAAAUUACUAUUUCACUAGUUAAUUAAUUUUUCUUAAGGCAUACCUCUAUCUAAAGAUCUCAGUUGUUUUAUAGGUAUGACCGCGACUGCUGGCACCUAAUUAGUCAAAUCAUUCAAACUAGAAUUAAAUUUCUAUUUCUAGAAUUGUUUAAUAUUUCUUGCUGGGUUAAAAUAGUCUCGAAAGCCUACCAUGCAAAGUUUCAUUUAUACUGAGAGUACAUCAGAACAAAGUUC
rnacentral:rRNA from 1 species